rnacentral:rRNA from 1 species
CAUGUGGAAGAGUAAAAAGUGUCCGGUCAACCAAAGGUGUUCCGAUAGGGUGAGAACCCUGCCGGAAAGGAAUCAUUUACUGAGGGAUAUCGUGGGUCGGCAAGAGCGGCUUCCCCACCCCUUUUGGUUUAUACCAAACCCUGUUGCUUCGGCGAGAACGUCUGGUUCCUUUGAAAAUAGCUAUUUGCUUCCGGGGGAUAUGUGCUCGCCGAGGGACCCACAAACAACUUGUUUUGAAGGUUGUCUGAGUUAAAAACAAAAACUUUAAAACUUUCAAACAACGGAUCUCUUGGUUCUGGGCAUCGAUUAAGAACCGCAGCGAAAAUGCGAUAAAGUAAUGUGAAUUGCAGAAUUUAGUGAAUCAUCGAAAUUUUUGAACGCAUAUUGCGCCUCUUGGUAUUCCUUGAGGCAUAUCUGUUCGAGCGCCGUUUUAAUACUAUGGCUUUGCCCUUGUGUUGAUGGUGUUCUGUCGGGAACCCUAUUUGAAAAUGUCAAAGUCGGCGCUGAUUUUUAGUCUGAUUUCGCAGCAAAAAUGUGAUAAUGACUUUUAAUUAGCUGCCUCACUUCUGAAUUCAUGGCCUCGGAUCAGAUAGGGAUACCCGCUGAACUUAAGC